rnacentral:rRNA from 1 species
UACGAAGGGGGCUAGCGUUGCUCGGAAUUACUGGGCGUAAAGGGCGCGUAGGCGGGUCGUUUAGUUAGAGGUGAAAGCCCAGGGCUCAACCCUGGAAUUGCCUUUAAUACUGGCGGCCUUGAGUAUGGCAGAGGUGUGUGGAACUCCGAGUGUAGAGGUGAAAUUCGUAGAUACUCGGAAGAACACCAGUGGCGAAGGCGACACACUGGGCCAUUACUGACGCUGAGGCGCGAAAGCGUGGGGAGCAAACAGG